AAUGAUGGGAAUUUAAACCCCUUCCAGAGUAUCAAUUGGAGGGCAAGUCUGGUGCCAGCAGCCGCGGUAAUUCCAGCUCCAAUAGCGUAUAUUAAACUUGUUGCAGUUAAAAAGCGCGUAGUUGAAUUUCUGCUGCAUCGUGGUUCUUCGCUAUGUCGAGUGGGCCUCGUUGAGGCUUAGUUGGGGCAUGUUUUCAUGACUCGACGUUUACUUUGAGAAAAUUAGAGUGCUCAAAGCAGGCUUUUGCCUU
rnacentral:rRNA from 1 species